AUGGCCUUAGGGCUCAUAUUGGUUUCCUUUGUCCUUAUUUUAAAAGGUGGACAGGGUGAGGUGCAAUUGCUGGAGUCUGGGGGAGGAUUAGUGCAGCCUGGAAAGUUCCUGAAACUCUCCUGUGCAGCCUCUGGAUUUACUUUUGGUGACUAUGCCAUGCACUGGGUCCGCCAGGCUCCAGGGAAGGGGCUGGAGUGGGUAGCAUCCAUUAGUGAGAGUGGUAGCAAAAUCUUCUAUGCCAACGCUGUGAAGGGCCGGUUCACAAUCUCCAGAGACAAUGCCAAGAACACUCUGUACCUGGAAAUGAGCAGUCUGAGGUCUGAAGACACAGCCAUCUAUUACUGUGCAGCAGACACAGGAUUUUCUCUACAGAUAUAG